GGGGGUAUGGCUCAGUUGGUAGAGCGCCUGCUUUGCACGCAGGAUGUCAGCGGUUCGAGUCCGCUUACCUCCA
rfam:Gloeomargarita lithophora Alchichica-D10 chromosome.